rnacentral:lncRNA from 1 species
CAGGAGCCUGAGCUGCGUGUCUGCAUCCCUAAAGAGUGCAAUAAAUGUGUCUGCUAGGAUUUCACCUGCAUUCUGCACGGGAUGCUACAGAGAGAAAACCUCUGGAAAAAGGAACUGUGAGCCUGUGGGAGAGCACCUUUCCCAUUUUCCUGCUUCUCUCUAAUUUUUUUUGUAAAUUCUUUGGAAAAUCCUCUUUUACAUUACUUUAAAAAUGGACACAAGUCUAUCAUAUCCAUGAGAAUUACUUGAUAACCUGAAUUUCCCUGUGGUUUAUUUAUCUGUGGAGGAACUGGUCUGGAGAGCACAAGUUCAUCCAGAAGUGUCUGUUUUGCUUGAUGGGGCAUUUGCUCCCUCCCAGAGAUGGAAUAUUCUGUCCCAUCUGCCUCACUGAAGAAAAUGAAAAGCACAAUAAGCAGGGAGAGGGAAGCUGUGAUGAUAAAAUAUGAGAUAUUUGUUAAUGUGCAUCAUGCACACGUUCAGAGCCUGCAAAUGGGGCCCUAAAAUGUAUCAGAAUUUAUUCUGCAGUCAGUGUUCCCUCCUUGCUGAGCAAUGGCCAAG